rnacentral:scRNA from 1 species
ACAGAAAGCAGCAAUCCUACAUAAACAUGGAGGCCUCUGUCUGACUUAGGAUAGCUGCUAAGUCAGAUCGUUGCCCUCCAUACACU